rnacentral:rRNA from 1 species
AGAGUUUGAUCCUGGCUCAGAAUCAACGCUGGCGGCGUGCCUAACACAUGCAAGUCGAGCGCGAAGCCCCCGCAAGGGGGCCAAGAGCGGCGCACGGGUGAGUAACACGUGGACAACCUACCUCCUAGUGGGGAAUAACCUCGCGAAAGCGAAGCUAAUACCGCAUAAGUUUCUCCGGGCGCAUGCCCGGGGAAGGAAAGCAGCAAUGCGCCGGGAGAGGGGUCCGCGGCCGAUUAGUUAGUUGGCGGGGUAACGGCCCACCAAGACCAUGAUCGGUAUCCGGCCUGAGAGGGCGCACGGACACACUGGAACUGAAACACGGUCCAGACUCCUACGGGAGGCAGCAGUGGGGAAUUUUGCGCAAUGGGGGAAACCCUGACGCAGCAACGCCGCGUGGAGGAUGAAGGGCUUCGGCUCGUAAACUCCUUUCGAUCGGGACGAGUAGAAGACGGUACCGGAAGAAGAAGCCCCGGCUAACUACGUGCCAGCAGCCGCGGUAAUACGUAGGGGGCGAGCGUUGUUCGGAAUUAUUGGGCGUAAAGCGCGUGUAGGCGGUUCGGUAAGGCGGGUGUGAAAUCCCCAGGCUCAACCUGGGAUCUGCAUCCGCGACUGCCGGGCUGGAGUGCGAGAGGGGAGAGCGGAAUUCCUGGUGUAGCGGUGAAAUGCGUAGAUAUCAGGAGGAACACCGGUGGCGAAGGCGGCUCUCUGGAUCGUGACUGACGCUGAGACGCGAAAGCUAGGGGAGCAAACAGGAUUAGAUACCCUGGUAGUCCUAGCUGUAAACGAUGGAUGCUAGGUGUGGGCGGUUCAUUCCGUCCGUGCCGACGCUAACGCAGUAAGCAUCCCGCCUGGGGAGUACGGUCGCAAGGCUGAACUCAAAGGAUUGACGGGGCCCGCACAGCGGUGGAGCAUGUGGUUUAAUUCGACGCAACGCGAAGAACCUUACCUGGCUCGAAUGCCGGUGACCGGGGUGGAAACAUCCAUUC